AACAAGGAAAGUAACUCUUCAUUGAAUGUCAAUAACCCACUUCAAAUACAAAUUCAAUUGAAGUGUGGACAUAAGUUUGUAUGACAACAAUACCUAUUAAUCCUAAUUAAUCUACGUAAGAGUACAUCAUUUGCUCCUUUAACAACUUUGAGUUGCUUUCCUUUACUUCCUUGUGUCCAAAUUUGUUUCCAAAUCUGCCAAAAUUUCAUUCUCCUUGCAAGAAUUCAUAAUACCUUAAUGCUGACACCUGAAAAAGAGGGCAAGAAUUAGAACAUGAUGCAAAGAAUAGAUAUAUGGCAGUAGUACACACACAUCUAUGGCGUUUGAAAAACGUCAUGGAAUGUAUUUCAUGGCGUUUUUUAGCGCCAUCCCUUAACGCCGUCUAAUGUAUAUCUGGAAGUGAUGGAGAUUUGCCACUGCUGAAGAUUCUGUCAUGGCUGCACAUGCGGCCAUUUUAUGAGCUGCAAAAAUGAUAAAAGAGAAGAACUACAGAGUUUAUCAAUGUUAGAACUCAGGCAAUGAAUCAUGUCACCAAAGCAUGCAUAGUAAGACUAUCAACAAUCCUCUGAGUUGAAACAGCUACUUACAGCUCUGAUGUACUAAAGGCUAAACUUAAUACUCUACAAUACUCAUGUUCAAAUUUUAAAGUGGGCAUCAAAAAUUUUGGUCGGAGCAGCUAUCCUUACCUUGGGGUUCCAUCAAAAACUUGGAAGUGUCACCUAUGAGCCUGUUUUCCUUAUGCAGACAAAGAAAUGCUCUGUCCCAACAAGCUUUCCCCUGCAAAGCCAACAAGGUAAAGACAUAUUAUUCUAUAAAUAUUAGGGCUUCUUUCCAUAUUGUCUUCCCCUCAGCAUUCUUAUAUGAUCCAUCAAACUGACUCAUAAAAGUCCAUCUCCUUAGAUGGCAUAAAGAAAUGCCAAAGUGAAGAAGGCUGCAUUACAACUAUUACCACAACCAAACUUCUUAAGAACUAUGACCACAAAGCUGAAACAAAAGCAAGAAAUAGAAGUUACAAAUGCUAAUCACCCUCAAACUUGACACUGAACCUCCAAACUGAACAUUAGCUGAAUCAACC
rnacentral:lncRNA from 1 species